GUGUGUCUGUGUGUGUGUGUGUGUGUGUCCUAGGACAUCUCAACAUCUCAACUUGUCAGAGCCUCGGUUUCCUCAUCGGCUAAGCAGUGAUCAUGGUGCAGACCUUGUAGAGCUGUGACGAGGACUGCAUGUGACAGCGAAUGCAGAGCACCAAGCACGGUGCCUAGUGCAAAGUAAUUGCUCAGUAAAUGCCAGCUGCGCCUCAUUAAUGAUGCCACAGUAAACACAUGAAGAGAGCUGGGGAGACAGCAGGAAGUUCUACCUGCAGGAGAGAGUCUUGGAAGGUUUCACGGAGGAGGUGACAUAUGAGUUGGGCUCUGUGGGAUGAGUAGGCGUUUAUGGUCAGAUGCCUGGGGAAUUCAGUUCAGCAAAUGUCUAUGCGGUGUGUGUGGACGUGCCAAAGCAGGUACCAAAACUUAAGGAAAAGAAAAGUCGGUUCCCCUGCCGGCCAAGGAGGCCUUAGCGAGCUGCCACAUCUGCAGGGAGAGAGUCGUAACCUUCCGGUGCGCAGGGCAGAAAAACUGUGGAAAACUGCUCAGGUCACGACACCAUAUGUCAAGGACCGUGACCAAGAAUCGCAUGUACUCGGGAGAAAAUGCAGACAGGAGGUUCGUUCAGCUUUUUUGGCCACGGGAGUUUUGAUAAGUCCUUCGAACCGUUGGUGGUGGCAGGCCAGUCACAUGAGUGCAUUUGUAUGUGUUGCCUGUGAGUUGAGAGGCCAAGUGUCAGAGACAAGAUUUGAAUUUAAAUGCUUCAUCUCUACAGUCCACUCUGGUCUUCACGAGCAACCCUCCCUGUCACCUCCCAGACAGACAGCUCUCUUCUCUCCAUGAUGGAAACAGCCCUAGGAGUGCUCCCUGGGCCAGGCCACCCGUGGCCUCUGGCUUGCUGUGCUCCCACAGCCCUCUGGAGCUCUCGGCUGCCGUGGGCGCCAGCCCCAAGCCCCAGGGUCCCAGCCUCCCUGAGCUGCAGGUCCCUGGCUUCUGCCGCCUGCAUCCUUCACAGUAGGUGAGCAGGGACCCUUUGGAGUCAGCCUCCCCAGGCCUGUCGCUUGUGGAUAGGGUGUGGCAAUGAGUUGAAAAUCUGUGGAAGCAGAGGAAGAAAAGAAACUGCCACUGUCUGUUUUCUAGGUCCUCUUCCAGGUCUCAGACUUCUCACUGUGUCCUCACGUGGCGGAAGGGGCGAAGGAGCUCUCUGGGGUCACGUUAUAAGGGCACUGAUCCCAUUCAUGAGGGCUCCGCCCUCGCGACCAUCACCUCCCAAAGGUCCCGCCCCCUAACAGCAUCGCAUUGGGUGCUAAGAUUCCAGCGUGAAUUUUGGCUGGACACAAACAUUCAGACUAGAAUCAUGUGCCACACAAACGUUUCAGUCAACGACAGACUGCCUAUAUGACAGUGGUCCCAUAAGAUUAUUAUAAGCUGAAAAAUUCCUAUUGCCUGGUGACAUCGUAGCCCAUGACUUUGGAGGGUUUGCCAAGAAUGAAGAGGUUGCAGAAACCACCAGGGCUGUGGCUGAGAUGGCAAACAACUUUAACCAGAGCAUGGACACGGAUGACAUUGAGGAGCUCCUAGAUGACAUUGAGGUAGCUCCUGAGGAAGUGGCCGAUGAGGUGCUGGAGCUGGAAUGGGAAUAAGUUGCUAAAGAAGAGGCAAGAGAAAAGGAAACCGCAGGAGAAGAAGAAGAAGAAGAAUCCCCAAGAAAAUUCACCGUGAAAGGUUUAGCAGAAGCUUUUGCUGACCUCAGUAAGCUCCUCAAAAAGUUCGAACGCAGGGACCCCAACACCGAAAGGUUUUCAUUAAUAGAGAGGGAGGAUCUUGGUGUAUUAUUUGCUUACAAGCAAAUAUGAUGAAAAAAAAAGAAAGAAACCAAGCAAGCAACCAUGGAAAUAUUUCUGAAAAGAGUGACAGACACCUCCUCAAGAAAUGCCUCAGGCAGGUCUUUCAGGAGGUGUUCCAGAAGAAGGCAUUGUCAUAGGCCG